AACGAACGCUGGCGGCAGGCCUAACACAUGCAAGUCGAGCGGACCCUUCGGGGUUAGCGGCGGACGGGUGAGUAACGCGUGGGAAUAUGCCCUUCUCUACGGAAUAGUCCUGGGAAACUGGGGGUAAUACCGUAUACGCCCUUGGGGGGAAAGAUUUAUCGGGGAAGGAUUAGCCCGCGUUGGAUUAGGUAGUUGGUGGGGUAAUGGCCUACCAAGCCGACGAUCCAUAGCUGGUUUGAGAGGAUGAUCAGCCACACUGGGACUGAGACACGGCCCAGACUCCUACGGGAGGCAGCAGUGGGGAAUCUUAGACAAUGGGGGCAACCCUGAUCUAGCCAUGCCGCGUGAGUGAUGAAGGCCUUAGGGUUGUAAAGCUCUUUCAGCUGGGAAGAUAAUGACGGUACCAGCAGAAGAAGCCCCGGCUAACUCCGUG
rnacentral:rRNA from 1 species